ACAGGAUCACAGGAUCACAGGAUCACUGGUUGCAGGUUCGAGUGAACACGUUUGGCUGUGAUUGUAAAGUCGGUGAGUUUUUACCAGGGAAGAAGCUGCACUAAUUGGUGUAGAGUCCGAGUGAGGAAAACUCCUGCCAGUAUUUUCUCAAGGGUUUCCUCCAGGUUAACCAGCUUCUGUGCACGGUCUCCCAACCCACAGGGUCAACUGGGCCGUGACCAAGUUGCCCUUGGAGGCUUGCAGAGGCUACUACUUAUUUAAUCCCUUCAUUGUAAUGAAACUCAGAUGCCUCGUGUUUACGCCAGGAGGAAAGCUCGGCAAACCUAUUUCUGAUUUAAUUUGAAAGAGCUUCAGAUUCAAGGGACUUCACUGACUUCCUGCCACCAACACUGGUCGGGUUACACCGAGGGGCGUAUGAAGAUUGUUAUCAUCCGGUGAUCCGUCAGAGUAAAUAGGACAUCUUCUAUACACAGGAAAUGCAUGCAUUCCACAUGAACUGAAUGGUCAAAAAGUCCAGGACAGCUGAGGAUAAGUGGCUCAUUCUGUGAAUGGAGAAAUGAGGGAAAGUGAACAAGUAUUGUUUGGCCUGCAAUCUGUCUUAGAGAGAGAGAGACAAUGCCUCUUUGAUUGUAGUCUCCGUGGCCCCCGAGAUUCAAGUUCAAUGCCAAGGAAUCAAUAGUCUGUGGCACGGGGGGCCCCAGUUGUCAGAGGUCAAAUGAGUGGGAGGGUGCGUUGGGUGUGAUGGGGGGAAAUGGGAAGUAGAUGUGUUUUAACAGAGAGAUUCCCUGUAAGGAACAUGACAAAGCAGCAGAUCACUGAGUUUCAUCUGACAUUUGACCCCCACAUAUGAUUAUUAACGCAAUCGCUCACAAUUCUGCUAAAACGAGUAUAGGAGCUUAACACCAUGGCAUUUCCACUUGUAUUGCAGCAUUCCCUUACUGAGAGUAUUUCAAAUGACAAAGUAGCAUCUUUACUUUUUUUUUUUUAAAAGUACCUCAAAGUUUCACUGGCAUUGUUUCAACUUGUUUCUGUUUUGUGUUACACCUUCCUUCAUCCCAGUUUUUUGCUAAUGUGCACAUACAGUAGCUGAUGUCUGCUUGGUGAGGUGUCCUCUAUCAAUCCUCACUGUUACAGUGUUUGUCGAAUCAAGAAGUCAGAAUGAUAAAGAGACAAAAGUCUCCUUUGUGCCCCAACUGGUACUGUUUGGAGUCACGCGUUCUCCCCUUCCUCUACGGCGAGUGAACUCCCAGUUCAUUCUAUUGUCAGAUCAGCCAGUGCUUUGGCCCCCAAACCACACGUGGAUAAACUUUGCGGCACUUGUGGAGGAAUGCUUCAUUGCACUGUCACCCGAUCGAGGAAAUGUAAAACACAUGAAACAUGAAAAGGCUGUAAUUAUUGUCUGAGAGCUGCGGUGAGGUCGAGGGUGGUAUACUUUGCGCUGGCGGUGAAGCGUAUUUCAUUUACUGUGGGAUACAGUACCAAACCAUGGGGUUCACUCGCUCCGUGUUUCCCAGCUACAGUACAGUAUAUGUUCACGUGAGCAAAUGCAAUGUUCCUCGUGGAAACAGAUAUAGCUUCUUAUUCAAGAUCGUUUUUUUAUGUGCUUGACAUACUGUAAUGGGAAUAAAACCUUAUAGUUA